rnacentral:rRNA from 1 species
AUUGAACGCUGGCGGCAGGCCUAACACAUGCAAGUCGAGCGAGCGGCGGACGGGUGAGUAAUGUAUGGGGACCUGCCCGAUAGAGGGGGAUAACUACUGGAAACGGUGGCUAAUACCGCAUACUAUCGGAUGAACCCAUAGGGGAUUAGCGAGUAGGUGGGGUAAAGGAUCACCUAGGCGACGAUCUCUAGCUGGUCUGAGAGGAUGAUCGGCCACACUGGGACUGAGACACGGCCCAGACGCAUAAGGGAGGGAGCAGUGGGGAAUAUUGCACAAUGGGCGAAAGCCUGAUGCAGCCAUGCCGCGUGUAUGAAGAAGGCCUUAGGAUAGUAAAGUACUUUCAGCGGAGAGGCGGUACCCGCAGAAGAAGCAACGGCUAACUCCGUGCCAGCAGCCGCGGUAAUAC